CGAACACUUUCAUGAGCCUUUUACUGGAACCAGAAGGACAAAUCAGCUCCCAGUGUGCCAGUUUGCCUGUUUACCAGUCCACACCGACUGUGAAUUACCUGACAUCAUGACAGAUACCUAGAACAACAGGACAGUGUCCCCUCUGUCAGAUGACAUUGCCUCUUGAUGUGCUAGAGGAUCAUGCUGCAGAAUGUGGAGAGAUGAGUUCGGGAGGUCCAAAAUCCUUUCCCACCAUUAUGGAGGAGAAAUUGUCUGAACUUAAAGGAAAGAAGGAAGAAUUUACCAUCCGAGUAGUUAGAAGACUCUUCCAUGCCACUGCUAUAGACCAGCUUGGUGAAGCCAGACAAGAGGACUGGUCCAACCCUGUAAAAAUUCAGUUUAUAGGAGAAGAGGGAGUGGAUGCUGGAGGAUUGACUUUUGAUUUUUUUUUCUGUGUUCUUCGAUAAAACUAACAUUUUCAAUAACCGUGGCACAUUUAGCGUUGACGCUAAAAUGCUAGAAGAAAAGACAUAUACCAUCAUGGGGAAACUUACUGCAAUG